ACGAACGCUGGCGGCGCGCCUAACACCUGCCAGUCGAACGGAGCUGAGAGAAGCUUGCUUUUCUUAGCUUAGUGGCGAACGGGUGAGUAACGCGUGAGUAACCUGCCCUGGAGUGGGGGACAACAGUUGGAAACGACUGCUAAUACCGCAUAAGCCCACGAUCCGGCAUCGGAUUGAGGGAAAAGGAUUUAUUCGCUUCAGGAUGGACUCGCGUCCAAUUAGCUAGUUGGUGAGGUAACGGCCCACCAAGGCGACGAUUGGUAGCCGGACUGAGAGGUUGAACGGCCACAUUGGGACUGAGACACGGCCCAGACUCCUACGGGAAGCAGCAGUGGGGGAUAUUGCACAAUGGGGGAAACCCUGAUGCAGCGACGCCGCGUGGAGGAAGAAGGUUUUCGGAUUGUAAACUCCUGUCGUUAGGGACGAUAAUGACGGUACCUAACAAGAAAGCACCGGCUAACUACGUG
rnacentral:rRNA from 1 species